AUUGAACGCUGGCGGCAUGCCUUACACAUGCAAGUCGAACGGCAGCACAGGUGCUUGCUGCUGGUGGCGAGUGGCGGAGGCGGGCGUGAUACAUCGGCACCGGUCCUGACGUUGGGGAGGGCGCGACGGAAGGCGGAUUAAUACCACAACCGAACACCGGAUGAAAGUGGGGGCCGUUCGGGUCUCGAGCUAUCGGGUUGGCCGAUGGCGGAUUAGCUAGUUGGUGGGGUAAAGGCCUACCAAGGCGACGAUCAGUAGCUGGUCUGAGAGGACGACCAGCCACACUGGAACUGAGACACGGCCCAGACUCCUACGGGAGGCAGCAGUGGGGAAUUUUGGACAAUGGGCGAAAGCCUGAUCCAGCAAUGCCGCGUGUGUGAAGAAGGCCUUCGGGUUGUAAAGCCCUUUUGUUCGGAAAGAAAACCAGCGCCCUAAUACGGUCGGGUGAUGACGGUACCGAAAGAAUAAGCACCGGCUAACUUCGUG
rnacentral:rRNA from 1 species